AGCGAACGCUGGCGGCAUGCCUAACACAUGCAAGUCGCACGGGGGGGCUUCGGCCUCCCAGUGGCGGACGGGUGAGGAACGCGUAGGGACCUGUCGAGGGGUGGGGGAUAACCGCGGGAAACUGCGGCUAAUACCGCAUGACGCCGCGGCGUGACAGCCGGGGCCAAAGGCGAAAGCCGCCCGCCGAGGGGCCUGCGUCCGAUUAGCUGGUUGGCGGGGUAGCGGCCCACCAAGGCGUCGAUCGGUAGCUGGUCUGAGAGGGUGAUCAGCCACACCGGGACUGAGACACGGCCCGGACUCCUACGGGAGGGAGCAGUGGGGAAUAUUGGAGGAUGGGCGCAAGCCUGAUCCAGCAAUGCCGGGUGGGUGAAGAAGGUCUUCGGAUUGUAAAGCCCUUUCGGCGGGGACGAUGGUGACGGUACCCGCAGAAGAAGCCCCGGCUAACUUCGUG
rnacentral:rRNA from 1 species